rnacentral:rRNA from 1 species
UACGAAGGGGGCUAGCGUUGCUCGGAAUCACUGGGCGUAAAGCGCACGUAGGCGGACUCUUAAGUCGGUGGUGAAAUCCUGGAGCUCAACUCCAGAACUGCCUUCGAUACUGGGAAGCUCGAGUCCGGGAGAGGUGAGUGGAACUGCGAGUGUAGAGGUGAAAUUCGUAGAUAUUCGCAAGAACACCAGUGGCGAAGGCGGCUCACUGGCCCGGUACUGACGCUGAGGUGCGAAAGCGUGGGGAGCAAACAGG